UCAAACAUAAUAUACCGGUACGGGCCAAACGAAAUUCUCGUUUCUUCAUCUUUUCAUUUCGAUAAUAUAUAUAUCGCCAUGUCAUUAAUAUUUAUUUAUUUAUUUUGUGGUAUCCCGCCUCGUAACCGGUCGUCCGUGAAUAUAGCGGUCAUGUAUCCGAUGCCGAAAUCUCCAACCAAGCUCUCGCGGUCGUUUUUUCGCCACUUAUUCUUGCCGACUCGUCCUAGGCCUUUCCCGAAAGUUUUUUCCGCCGCUGGGCGCUGUUCCGCUGUGGGAGCGAAAACAAAGG